AUUAGUAAAACGCUGCUUGGCAACUGUGCCUGACAACAAGAAACAGGAGAGUAUGACAAAUAUGUACCUAGCGUUUACAUUACACACGGCACUGGGAAAUAAAACUGUCCAACUGAUUUACCUGAGGAUGAGUCAGUUUGUCCACAUAGGGCCAGGAGGAACAAGUGUGUUCACUUUAACUGUCAGAAAACCGCACGAACUGACAAUGGGCACACCGUCCCCGGGAAAUGGACUUUGGUGCCUCAAAUGCCCUUCAACCGAGCACACCCCAAGCCUCUCCCAUCCAGAGGACAAAACAGCCACAUUCCUCUCUUCCUGUCUGCCCCCCAGAUAAGUAGACUGCUCUCUGCUGAAUAUGGCUUCACUGUGACCCCCAGCCCCUAACAAGCUUUUACAGGACAAGAUGAAGCAAGCAGACACUGGAACCAGUGACGCCCACUGCAGGACAUUUGGGAAACUCCCUGCAGACAGUGCCUUCUCUUUUUAUUAGCUUUGAAACUAAUAAUCUUGUAUGUCUACAGCUAUAUGAAUAAAGUUUAUAUGAGAACAAAUCCAACACAGGCUCGAGGGACUGAGUGAGACUCAGUUCUGAUGGCUUCAUUUAAGCUCCUGGAUUCAUACGUGUGGGAGUCAGGAACAUUUCAGCAACAGGAGACAAUUCUCUCCCUUUUUACUUGAGUUAGUUUUCUGCAUUUUGACUGCAGCAAGUACUGACUGAAAUCACUAUGAUAUGAUAAGCCUUCUAAACCCUACCCUGGGAUAAAAGCAGCCAGCUGAGCCCUGGCUUCUUUCCCUGUGCAUAUUUAGGAAGCCAGGGGUUAGAACACAG
rnacentral:lncRNA from 1 species